AUUCCACUGGCAGAAUGAGCUCAAUGGUAAGACUGAAUGAGUUGAUUUUCCUUCAGUAUGUGACGGCAACACUUAAGCACAGAGACUUAUUUCUUCAAAAGACAAAGAUAACUCUCGAAAGUAACCUGCCUGCUGCAUGUUCAGCUCUUGAAAAUCAGUCUAUAUGGAAUCCAGAUUAGGAAAAAGGCCCUUGUGGAGGAGUGAAGGCAACCAAGUCUUUUUGAAGAGGAAUCAGGAAAGCCUGAAGUCAAUGUGGAUUUUUUAGACACUGUAUGAACCGC
rnacentral:lncRNA from 1 species